GUGAGGAAUAUUGGUCAAUGGGCGGGAGCCUGAACCAGCCAAGUCGCGUGAAGGAAGAAGGAUCUAUGGUUCGUAAACUUCUUUUGCAGGGGAAUAAAGUGCGGGACGUGUCCUGUUUUGUAUGUACCCUGAGAAUAAGGAUCGGCUAACUCCGUGCCAGCAGCCGCGGUAAUACGGAGGAUCCGAGCGUUAUCCGGAUUUAUUGGGUUUAAAGGGUGCGUAGGUGGUUUGAUAAGUCAGCGGUGAAAGUUUGCAGCUUAACUGUAAAAAUGCCGUUGAAACUGUCGGACUUGAGUGUAAAUGAGGUAGGCGGAAUGCGUGGUGUAGCGGUGAAAUGCAUAGAUAUCACGCAGAACUCCGAUUGCGAAGGCAGCUUACUAAGCUACAACUGACACUGAAGCACGAAAGCGUCGGGAUCAAACAGGAUUAGAUACCCCAGUAGUCC
rnacentral:rRNA from 1 species